CCUACGGGUGGCAGCCGUGAGGAAUAUUGGUCAAUGGGCGCUAGCCUGAACCCGCCAAGUAGCGUGAAGGAUGACUGCCCUAUUGGUUGUAAACUUCUUUUAUCUGGGAAUAAAGUGCAGUCUGUAUACUGCUUUGCAUGUCCCUUAUGAAUAAGGCUCGGCUAACUACGUGCCAGCCGCCGCGGUAAUACGGAGGAUCCGAGCGUUAUCAGGAUUUAUUGGGUUUAAAGGGAGCGUAGGCGGGUGGUUACGUCAGUUGUGAAAGUUUGCGGCUCAACCGUAAAAUUGCAGUUGAUACUGGCAUCCUUGAGUACAGUAGAGGUAGGCGGAAUUCGUGGUGUAGCGGUGAAAUGCUUAGAUAUCACGAAGAACUCCGAUUGCGAAGGCAGCCUGCUGGACUGUAACUGACGCUGAUGCUCGAAAGUGUGGGUAUCAAACAGGAUUAGAUACCCGAGUAGUC
rnacentral:rRNA from 1 species